UACGGAGGGUGCAAGCGUUGUUCGGAAUUACUGGGCGUAAAGCGUGCGCAGGCGGCUUCUCAAGUCAGGGGUGAAAGCCCAGAGCUCAACUCUGGAAUUGCCUUUGAGACUGAGUGGCUUGAGUACGAGAGAGGUGAGUGGAAUUCCCAGUGUAGAGGUGAAAUUCGUAGAUAUUGGGAAGAACACCGGUGGCGAAGGCGGCUCACUGGCUCGUAACUGACGCUCAUGCACGACAGCGUGGGGAUCAAACAGG
rnacentral:rRNA from 1 species